rnacentral:rRNA from 1 species
AACGAACGCUGGCGGCAGGCCUAACACAUGCAAGUCGAGCGCCCUUUCGGGUGAGCGGCGGACGGGUGAGUAACGCGUGGGAAUAUGCCCUUCUCUACGGAAUAGCCUCGGGAAACUGAGAGUAAUACCGUAUACGCCCUGUGGGGGAAAGAUUUAUCGGGGAAGGAUUAGCCCGCGUUGGAUUAGGUAGUUGGUGGGGUAAUGGCCUACCAAGCCGACGAUCCAUAGCUGGUUUGAGAGGAUGAUCAGCCACACUGGGACUGAGACACGGCCCAGACUCCUACGGGAGGCAGCAGUGGGGAAUCUUAGACAAUGGGGGCAACCCUGAUCUAGCCAUGCCGCGUGAGUGAUGAAGGCCUUAGGGUUGUAAAGCUCUUUCAGCUGGGAAGAUAAUGACGGUACCAGCAGAAGAAGCCCCGGCUAACUCCGUG